rnacentral:rRNA from 1 species
GACUGGGGCGAUAGCGAUCAUGACAGAACUGGGUUUGAAGCCCCGGCCAACUCCGUGCCAGCAGCCGCGGUAAGACGGGGGGGGCAAGUGUUCUUCGGAAUGACUGGGCGUCAAGGGCAAGUGGGCGGUGGUCGAGUGGUGGGAUUGUCUGUUGCCUGACUGGCUAGCCUAGGUUCAACACCAAUGCCACUGGAGUCACCCGAGUAGAGUGGAAUGUCUCGUUGGGGAGGGGUCAAAUCCGGAGAUCGAAGAUGGAACGCCGAUGAAGCGAAGGCAGCUCUAUUGGGCAGCACGGACGCUGAUUGGUUGCGACAGCAUGGGGAGCGAACGGGAUUAGAUACCCCAUUAGUCCUAGCAGUAAACGAUGAGUGUCAGCCCUCCUUGAGCUUACCUGGGGCUCGAGCACGCUUGGAACACUCCGCCUGGGAAGUACGGUCAGACCGAAACUCAAAGGAAUUGACGGGGGCCAGAUCAAGCGGUGGAGCAUGUGGUUUAAUUCGAUACAACGCGCAUCACCUUACCCGCCCGAGUAGGAACGAUCGCCCCUUGGCAGAAACGGAAGCAAUGGGGCCUAUGGGGUACUGUCUGCUUCGGACUCGUGUUCACACCGGUGCUGCAUGGCUGUCGUCAGCGCGUCUCGUGAGAUAGCAAUGGGUCAUCCGAUAACGAGCUCAAUCCUACCUAGUACAGUGUUGCUGAGACAUGCCAGUCGUUCCAAUGUCUCUAUACGCAAGCAGCUGGGUCAGGUCCAUCCACUCUUUCAUGGCAUCUCACUCCUCGCCAAGUACACCAGUGCUAUUGGAUGAGUCAUGGUGGAAUGGAGGUGUGAUGGUUCACUAGUUCGGUGAAAGACCUGGGAGCUGCGAGGUGGAAACCCAAGAGCACCGAGUUCACUGGAAGAGAUGGCCUAUUCAUGGAGUUGUGGUUGAGUUGAUUUGGCACUUCGGUGGGGGGGGACUGAGUCAUGGGCUGGCGUGCUAAUCACUCUGGACUGCCACUCGAAAAGAUGGAGGUGGUGGGCUGAAGUCAAGUCCGCAUGGCCUGAUGGUCGGGGCGACACACGUGCUACUAGUAGUGGUCCAUGACAAUGGGAAGCAUGGCUGAACGGCUGAGCCAACCCGGUUCGAAGGCAAAGAGGAUACCGCAAUCAAUCGUUCGGAUUGUUCUCUGCAAUCGGGAACAUGAAGUUGGAAUCGCUAGUGAUCGCGGAUCAGCAUGCCGCGGUGAAUCUGUACCCUGGCCCUGUACACACCGCCCGUCACACCCCUUUGCUGGUCGUAGCCCGACGCAUCGAUUCGCACCUCCGUCCCGUUGCUCGAUUCAUGGUGCCAUUCAAAGUAUAGCUACGACUCCCACCCAAAGGAUAGCGGGUGUUCGGCCAAUGCGUGUACGUUGUGGUGCUCAUGGUCUGGUUCGAUUCAUGCUAUUGCCAUGACCUUUUGCCCGUGGGGUGAAGUCGUAACAAGGUAGCCGUAGGGGAACCUGUGGCUGGAUUGGGUUGAUGACUAUACUACUACGAUGCCACCGAUCGGCACCAUAUGGGGCAUCCAUGCAUCCGUAUAUUCGGCACAUCAGUUCAAAAUGAGGUUCAUUGGGGAUCCGGGGGCGUGGCAUCAGAGAUCGCCAACUCAUUGCUCGCGUGGUUCAACCCGUCGGUCAACCCCAACAGAGUGUGCAGCUCGGCAUCGCGUCAUGGCACCUCUAUGAUGGCAUGCGGCAUUGGCACCACUCGGACGGACCUCCCCGGACUGCAAUGGGAACAACACGAGAGCCCAUUCGAUUAACAACUAGUUCGAUUAGCUUCUUAGUGACUUAAUAGAGUUAUGAAGAGUUAAGUCGAUGGGUCGUAGUUAAGGAGUUCGAUUUAUCUUAUUAAGUAUCUUAUUCAUGAGCUGAUUAGUUACUGAAUAGAGUGAUUAAGGUGCUUAGUCGAUGAGCUGUUGAGUGAA